rnacentral:rRNA from 1 species
AGAGUUUGAUCCUGGCUCAGGACGAACGCUGGCGGCGCGCCUAACACAUGCAAGUCGAACGGAGCUGAGAGGAGCUUGCUUUUCUUAGCUUAGUGGCGAACGGGUGAGUAACGCGUGAGUAACCUGCCCUGGAGUGGGGGACAACAGUUGGAAACGACUGCUAAUACCGCAUAAGCCCACGGACCCGCAUGGAUCUGCGGGAAAAGGAUUUAUUCGCUUCAGGAUGGACUCGCGUCCAAUUAGCUAGUUGGUGAGGUAACGGCCCACCAAGGCGACGAUUGGUAGCCGGACUGAGAGGUUGAACGGCCACAUUGGGACUGAGACACGGCCCAGACUCCUACGGGAGGCAGCAGUGGGGGAUAUUGCACAAUGGGGGAAACCCUGAUGCAGCGACGCCGCGUGGAGGAAGAAGGUUUUCGGAUUGUAAACUCCUGUCGUUAGGGACGAUAAUGACGGUACCUAACAAGAAAGCACCGGCUAACUACGUGCCAGCAGCCGCGGUAAAACGUAGGGUGCAAGCGUUGUCCGGAAUUACUGGGUGUAAAGGGAGCGCAGGCGGACCGGCAAGUUGGAAGUGAAAACUAUGGGCUCAACCCAUAAAUUGCUUUCAAAACUGCUGGCCUUGAGUAGUGCAGAGGUAGGUGGAAUUCCCGGUGUAGCGGUGGAAUGCGUAGAUAUCGGGAGGAACACCAGUGGCGAAGGCGACCUACUGGGCACCAACUGACGCUGAGGCUCGAAAGCAUGGGUAGCAAACAGGAUUAGAUACCCUGGUAGUCCAUGCCGUAAACGAUGAUUACUAGGUGUUGGAGGAUUGACCCCUUCAGUGCCGCAGUUAACACAAUAAGUAAUCCACCUGGGGAGUACGACCGCAAGGUUGAAACUCAAAGGAAUUGACGGGGGCCCGCACAAGCAGUGGAGUAUGUGGUUUAAUUCGAAGCAACGCGAAGAACCUUACCAGGUCUUGACAUCGAGUGACGUAUCCAGAGAUGGAUAUUUCCUUCGGGACACAAAGACAGGUGGUGCAUGGUUGUCGUCAGCUCGUGUCGUGAGAUGUUGGGUUAAGUCCCGCAACGAGCGCAACCCUUAUCAUUAGUUGCUACGCAAGAGCACUCUAAUGAGACUGCCGUUGACAAAACGGAGGAAGGUGGGGAUGACGUCAAAUCAUCAUGCCCCUUAUGACCUGGGCUACACACGUACUACAAUGGCGAUCGAACAGAGGGAAGCAAGACAGCGAUGUGGAGCCAAUCCCAAAAAAUCGCCCCAGUUCAGAUUGCAGGCUGCAACUCGCCUGCAUGAAGUCGGAAUUGCUAGUAAUCGCAGAUCAGCAUGCUGCGGUGAAUACGUUCCCGGGCCUUGUACACACCGCCCGUCACACCAUGGGAGUCGGUAACACCCAAAGCCGGUCGUCUAACCUUCGGGAGGACGCCGUCUAAGGUGGGAUUGAUGACUGGGGUGAAGUCGUAACAAGGUAGCCGUA